rnacentral:lncRNA from 1 species
UCAGAUGUGGCUGGGAUGUCACGGCCAGUGUCCCUAAAAGUGACCUGGUAGAACAACAGCACAAUUAGGAGCCUACAUGAUUAUGAUCUAUCCAGCACAGCAUAUAAUCAGAUUUCAAAAUUAUGUGAGGUAAAAACAGGCCAUUUUUUAAAAUUUGGCCAUGAACAACGGACAUAAUGUACUCCUUCGCCUACCAAAUAGAUAACAUUUUUUACUAUGGUGCAAGUAUGUUUUUUUGGCAAACUGGCAGGAGACCUGAUGUGGGACAAUUAAUUUUUAAAAUAAUAUGUUGCUAAAAAGAUAAAAUCAUACGAAUAUAAUUCUGAUGGAAAUCAACUAGUGUUUGUUUAGAAACAUUCACGAAGAGGAAUGCAUCAGUAACGACACUCCAAAAACUAAACCUGGUUCUGUCAAUGCUAGCUCCAAAAACAUCCAGGUACCCUACAAGGACUGCAGCAGCAUACUGUUGCAGCUAAUCAGUUUAAUAUUUAAUUAUUAUAAUUAUUAUUAUAGAUCUCACUUUUAACUGAAUAAAAAUGGUGCUUUUACAGGAGUAAGAUCCUCACAAACGCAUGCACUUUGGUCACUGCUACAGAGCUAACAUUUUAUAUAGCCAGUUCACUAAAGGGGUGUUUGGAUACACCCCCCUAAACUUUAGUACCUGUCACAUCGGAUGUUUGGAUACUAAUUAGGAGUAUUAAAUAUAGUCUAAUUACAAAACUAAUUGCACAAAUGGAGUCUAAUUCGCGAGACGAAUCUAUUAAGCCUAAUUAGUCCAUGAUUUGACAAUGUGGUGCUACAGUAACCAUUUGCUAAUGAUGCAUUAAUUAGGCUUAAUAGAUUCGUCUCGCGAAUUAUUAUAGGGGUUCUGCAGUUAGUUUUAUAAUUAGCUCAUGUUUAGUCCUUCUAAUUAGUGUCCGAACAUCCGAUGUGACCCUCCUAAAGUUGAGUACGUUGUAUCCAAACAGCCAUUAAAAAAAGCUCAGAUAUGUUGAAAACUAUGAAGACUAUCAGUGCCAAAAAUACAAACCUUCCUUGAUUUCAGCUUUGCCUCUAAAUCAGAACAUUUGGCCUGCAGAAAGAAAAAGGAAACAAUUACUACCACAAUCUCGUAUAUAAUGCCAUCAGUCUAGCAACAAUAAAAAGAUUUCAACAAACCUCUGCAAUGGCAGCCCUUGAUUCAGCAUCAGAAGCAGCUUUCAACGAGCUCUGCAGCCCCUUUCUCAUAUCCUCCACCUGUUUCAUACAGCUGUCAAACAUAUUUUUCUGAUCAAGGUUCAGAACACGGACAAGGUCUCCCUGCUCCUGAAGCUCCUUAAGCUCAGCCCAAUCCCUCUGCAGAUUGAUUCAGAUUGUGAAUAAUAAGAAAAAUGUAUAACCCAUGCUUGAACACAAGAUAAGUGGUCUUAAAUAUUUAACCCUCAAAAAAGAUAAACACAAAACAGAACAGUAGUGACAAAGCAGAUGGAAGAAUCAUGAAUCAAUCAUGCAUAUUCAAUAAUCUUUACUACUUCAAAAUCGGAAUUGGUGGUGGUGGAGGCUGGUGAUAGGUUGCACACUUGUGUUACCUCCACCUUGGAGGACCUUCUUUGGGAAAUUCUUUGUAUUCAUGUAACCAUGUGUAUGUAACAAAGAGGGUCUAUAUAUGGAAUUUGUGGAUUGAAGACUUAAAGUUCCAUAGCUAGAUAAAUGGGAGUUAGUAAAGAAUUACCUUUUUUCUGAACACUGUAAAGAAUUACUAGGUUAGUAGAUCUAAGACAUGUCAUUUAUUUCAAAAUCAUGGCAACCCACAGGUCGGUUUAGUGGCACCUAGUACAUGACUAUAGUUCCAAAUGCAUUAUUCUAAUUUGGGUGUGCAUCAGUCAUUAUUAUCAAGGUAGCUGGUUAUAAAUGAUUAGCAACAUAAAUGAGUAAUUCGGUUAAAUUGCUUAAACUUAAGUACCAAAUGAUCAUAUAAAACCAUAAGCAGUAAGAAUCUAUGAUCAGUAAAAAAAUUCUACCACGGAUGAACAAUGGGGGCCUUCCCUCAUUCUCCAGCCAUGAAAUAUGGUGCCUACGAAAAAUGGUUCACAUGGAUAUAAGUAAAGAAAAGUACCUGCCGUUCAUAAUUUUCUUCGGCGGAUCGCCAACGCUUGUACUGCUCAUCUAGUGCACUCUUUGAGGAAGCCAAUUCCAUUUCUAAUUUUUCUACCUGUGGUCUGUUAUAGAGGAACAAAGCAACAACAGAAAUGUCAACCAACUCUAGAAGUACAAUAGAGAAGUAUUUCUUGCCUAGUUUAGGGUAAACAGAUGCUUACAAUCUCUGAGAAACAUCUGUCCUUAGAACAGAAAUCUCAUUCACGAGAGAGGUGAUUUGCUUCUCUUUAGACUCAAUCGCACUGGCAGCUUCUUCACACUUUAUCAGAUAGCUCUUCUCCAUGUAAGAUAACUUAUCCCUCAAUUUAGCAAUCUCAUCUUCCAAGGCUUCCCUGCCAACCUCGGCCUACACAUGAAAACUACAAAAGUCAAUGUGCAUAUAAAUAAAGAUACAGAGGCUUCACUGUAACGUAUAUAAAAUGUUGAUACCUCUGCCUUGUAGUCCUGAUGGGCAGAUUCCAAUUGCUUUAACGCAACUUCAUUGGAGUCCGCAAUUUCUUUGUACUGUACAAGAGUUAAUGUUGGGUGAUUCAGAAGAGUCAGGAUUCAGGAGAUCAAUGCAUUGUAAACUGAUUGCAAAAUUGCACUGGGACUUCUCUUAUAACUUCUGGAUAAAUGAGCCUAUCAGAUUCUAAAUUCUGAAGAACAAAGCAAUCAGGUUGCUAACAGGAAAAACAAAAAGGAAAUGGAGAGUAUCAUUUUACCAUGAUUCCAAAGCAAAGUAAUAUGGUAAAAGGUGGUUUCAAGGUUUCCUUUACUUUCUCAGUGCAUAUAAACAUGUCUAAAUCUAGGUAAGUAUGAUCUUAUGAAAAUUAACGCAGUCAGAGAUAGGCACCUGAACCAUGUAGUUCCUAUUUGCUUGUGCUUCCUCCUUGUACUUUUCUAACUGCUCUUUCAACUGGAAUAGCUCAUCAUUCUCCUAUGGGAAAAAACACACCGUCAUGUAUCAAGCUAUCACCAAGUUCAUACAGAAUGAGCUUCAUACAGGAGAUAGGGUAGGGGUGAGAGCAUAUAACUUUCUCUGCAAUGAUUCAGGGAUGCUCGAAAAGAAAGUAUGAAAAGACAAGGAUAUUAAAAGUCAUUCAGAUGAAAACAUCAGUACCAUAGUCCUUAGCAAUAUCCCACACCAAAUACAAAUUUAGAUACAUGGUUAUUUGAGUACAGCAAAAAUUAACUCAUAGACGCAACAAAAAUAACUCACCUCAGAUGUGGCUGGGAUGUCACGGCCAGUGUCCCUAAAAGUGACCUGGUAGAACAACAGCACAAUUAGGAGCCUACAUGAUUAUGAUCUAUCCAGCACAGCAUAUAAUCAGAUUUCAAAAUUAUGUGAGGUAAAAACAGGCCAUUUUUUAAAAUUUGGCCAUGAACAACGGACAUAAUGUACUCCUUCGCCUACCAAAUAGAUAACAUUUUUUACUAUGGUGCAAGUAUGUUUUUUUGGCAAACUGGCAGGAGACCUGAUGUGGGACAAUUAAUUUUUAAAAUAAUAUGUUGCUAAAAAGAUAAAAUCAUACGAAUAUAAUUCUGAUGGAAAUCAACUAGUGUUUGUUUAGAAACAUUCACGAAGAGGAAUGCAUCAGUAACGACACUCCAAAAACUAAACCUGGUUCUGUCAAUGCUAGCUCCAAAAACAUCCAG